CAGGACUGAAGGGCGUGCAGGGAGAGCCAGGGCCUCCAGGAAGGGGAGUCCAGGGACCCCAGGGGGAGCCUGGAGCCCCGGGUUUGCCUGGCAUUCAGGGACUUCCGGGACCUCGGGGACCACCUGGCCCCACUGGAGAGAAGGGUGCCCAGGGAUCUCCAGGGGUGAAAGGAGCCACCGGACCCGUGGGACCUCCUGGGGCCAGUGUCUCUGGGCCUCCGGGCCGUGAUGGGCAGCAAGGACAGACGGG
rnacentral:misc_RNA from 1 species